CAGUCGCCGCGGUAAUACGUAGGUCCCGAGCGUUGUCCGGAUUUAUUGGGCGUAAAGGGAGCGCAGGCGGUUUAGUAAGUCUGGAGUUAAAGGCAUUGGCUCAACCAAUGUAUGCUUUGGAAACUGUUUGACUUGAGUGCAGAAGGGGAGAGUGGAAUUCCAUGUGUAGCGGAGAAAUGCGUAGAUAUAUGGAGGAACACCGGUGGCGAAAGCGGCUCUCUGGUCUGUCACUGACGCUGAGGCUCGAAAGCGUGGGUAGCGAACAGGAUUAGAUACCCCAGUAGUCCCUGUCUCUUAUACA
rnacentral:rRNA from 1 species